GACGAACGCUGGCGGCGUGCUUAACACAUGCAAGUCGAACGGAAAGGCCCUGCUUUUGUGGGGUGCUCGAGUGGCGAACGGGUGAGUAACACGUGAGUAACCUGCCCUUGACUUUGGGAUAACUUCAGGAAACUGGGGCUAAUACCGGAUAGGAGCUCCUGCUGCAUGGUGGGGGUUGGAAAGUUUCGGCGGUUGGGGAUGGACUCGCGGCUUAUCAGCUUGUUGGUGGGGUAGUGGCUUACCAAGGCAUUGACGGGUAGCCGGCCUGAGAGGGUGACCGGCCACAUUGGGACUGAGAUACGGACCAGACUCCUACGGGAGGCAGCAGUGGGGAAUAUUGCACAAUGGGCGGAAGCCUGAUGCAGCAACGCCGCGGGCGGGAUGACGGCCUUCGGGUUGUAAACCGCUUUCGCCUGUGACGAAGCGUGAGUGACGGUAAUGGGUAAAGAAGCACCGGCUAACUACGUG
rnacentral:rRNA from 1 species